CCUUAUUUUAGUGUUAAUUUACUACUUGAAUCUGCUCCUCUGCUCUUCUCCCCAUACUCAUACACAUACCUCUGCAAAAUGCAAUGCAAAAGUGGGUCACCAAAUAUACUUUGGCAGGUGCAAAUACCUGGCCAGCAAUAUGAAUAUUAUUAGUAUUAACUGAACGGUGGCUCAAAAAUCAAGGUCUGAAGCGUACCGUGGAUUUGGUCUAUGAUUACACCCCUAAGCUGAGCUAAUUAAUAUUACUUCGCUACUAAUUUAGCUAACAUUACGUAACAGCCAAAACAUGCUGUACAGGGGAGAUGUUAGCUAGCGCUAACAGCCUUCACUGUCCAGCAGUUGGGGAAACUACAGACUUAUUAACGGACACACAGUGACCUACACUGCACGGUUACUACCAGACAGGAACUUACUGCUAAUAUUUUUCUCCGCUAACUUUCAACGUCAUGUUCUGCCGCUCGCGCUCUCUCAUUUGCUCUGCCUCACACACAGGAUACGCAGAGAGCUGCCAAGCGUUAAGUGUCGCCAUGUUCGCAGUGUGCAAGUUAAAAUCAUUACUUGAACAUUGAUAUUGAUUGUGUGACAUUUUAUUAGGGUGGUUAUUCAUUCCACAGCGGUGGUGUGGGGUUUUUUCGCAGCGAGGAAUGCACGCAGGAGUGCCCGGAGCAGCUGUUCAUGUUGUCCCAGCAGUUGUCCUUGGCUGGAAAGUGCCAUGCUGAUGGUGGAGGGAGCGGGGUCGGAGUCCGCCGAUUCCACGCUUGUGGCCAGAUCAUUCUGGUAUGGCAGUCUAGGCAAAUGGACUCAAAAGCAGACUCGGGACAGGUAAAAAUCCAGGAAUUUAAAGUUUAUUGAAAAGUGGGGUGAGAGCAGAGCAGAGGGCAGACCAGGGAAUGGAGACCAGCAAGUGAACUUCCAGGCAGGCUGUGAGCUGAGUGAGGCAGUGGCAGAAUUUCCAGGCAGGCAGCGAUCCUGAGCACAGGGAGACAAGCUUGACUGUACUGCCUCCCUUUCCAUGAUGAGACUGCACUGGGUGACAUUCUGUAGUGUUGCUGAUUGGGCCUAGACUGCCGGGGGAUUUCCCAUGAUGCACUGAGCUCCUCUCUCCUCU